UGGCUGUUGUCUGAAGCUGCUAGGCUGCAGGGGUGGCUACUAACACAUUCUGCUGGCUUCUACCUCUUCCGUUCUGAGCCCCAGUGGGCCCUCUCGUAAGAUGCCUGGUGCACAGGAGCUGGUGGAGAAGAACCGAAGUGCCCACCCUUUACCCGGUGCCUGCCUGGGCUGUCUCCCACCUGCCUGUCUCCCUCUCAGUUUCCUCCAGGUUCUCAGGCAGGUGGAGCUGGAUUCAAAUCUAGCCAAUGUGCAAGAGGCCCCCAGGAAAACACCAGACAUUGGUACAGCUUGUCGUCUUCUGUCUGCCUCGAACCCAGUACAAGAGAUGGGCAACGAUCCCAGGGGUCUGCUGGAGUUCUAUGCUCACGAGGUAUAGUGAACACUGCGGGGACCGGACACCAGCAAACGGAUCAUACCGUUGUCCCAUCAAGACUUCGAAAACACGAGUUUAAAGAGGAGGCCAUUGAUCGCUUUGUGCUGACGGCAGCAGGGGCUCUGCCUGUGUGGAGUUCUCCUGUAUUGAAGAUGUCUGCGCUGCAUAGCCAUGGAACAGACCCCACAGAAGUGUCCAGGAGAAAUACCUGUGGAAGCUGCUGAAGCUCGUGAAAGGAUGGGACAGGGCACAAGUGUGGGGGUCGUGGGCAUGUACAUCAAUAAAAGGCAACCAUGCUUUCUCCUCCCCCAAUAAUGCCUUCCUCUGCUUUCAUGUCAUACGUAUUCCACGACCUUUCCUCUCUCUCUCUCUCUCUCUCUCUCUCUCUCUCUUUCUUUCUCUCUCUCUCUCCUUCCUUCCUUCCUUCCUUCCUUCCUUCCUUCCUUCCUUUCUUUCUUCCUUUCUUAAAAAAAAAAAAUAAGCCACGUAAAGAUGGCUACCACACAAAGAAUCUGGAUUAUGUUCUCUUUGAUAUUCGUAACUGAAGAAAAACAUUUGAUUACAAAAGCUGUUGAGUUAUGCCAAAAUGUAUAUUUUAAAGGUACCUUGACUUCAAAAUUUGGAUAUAAGGAUAUGUUACUUUGGAAAGGAGACUCUGCUUUUGUUUCCACAGAAAGCCAGAGGCUAUGGAUUUGUUCCAGAUUAAGACACAUCAGGUUUGACCAGCCAAGACCACCUGAAAGGUCUCCGAUGACACCAUGGCCCAGAUGAUCCAACAUCCAGAACCGUUUCAAGGCAACUGGCUCAGAUGAUACAGCCUCACGGACUACUCCAUGAUCCUAAAAUUUUCUUUGUUUCCCCAGAAGAUACAUCGCCCCCCUCCAGCAGGAAGUAGUAAGAGAAGCUACGCCCAAAUUCCCAAAUAUACCAAGCUGACUUUGGAGAUGUGUAAAGGUUAAAACCUUCCUUUUUAAGAAAAGAAAAGGGGAGGUGCUGUGGGAUGGUCUGUAUGUCAAAUGUGUUGCUGAUUGGUCAAUGAAUAAAUCACUGAUUGGCCCGUG